CCAUGGGGUCGCAAAGAGUCCGACAUGACUGAGCGACUGAACUGAACUGAGAUGAGAGUGAGGCAAGCGGCGAGGCUGAAGAUAAUGAGCAGAGCCUGGGUCAAGGAGGGCUUUACACUCCAGCUCAAGGAAUUUGGACUUUAUCCUGAAUAAAGUCAGGGAGUCUGAAGUCUUGUAGAAACACGCCGAGGUUUACAUUUUGGAAAGAUGGCUGUGGUUUAGGGAGGAGACAGGAUCAGAACAGAAGCAAAGGUGGAAGCAGGAAGACUGGCCGGAGGCUCCUGCAGCUCCUCAGGCGAGGCCUGAAGGUGCGACAUCAGAACCUCGGAGCUGGGGAACCCCGUGGCGGUCCGGUGGUGAGGACUCCCUGCUCUCACUGCUGAGGGCCCGGCUUGGGGGAGCUAAAAUCCCACAAGCCGCGUGUCAUGGCCAAAAAAACAAAACAGAAAGAACCACAGGAGCUGGAUGCGGUGGGCAGAAUGGAGAGAGAUUCUGGAUCCAGAGGACUUUGUGGGGGUUGCUCACCAAGGGAGACAGAAAGGGGUGGACCCAUGGGGCCUGCAGUCACUCUGGCCGACCCUUCGACCCUCAAGAACCUCCAUCAGCGCCAGGGAGCCUGGGCCCGGAACUGCCUCUCUGCCCCAGCAGCACCCUCUUGGUGCCCUUCCCUCCCCUUCCUGUGCCCCAAUUUCCAGAGGGUCUGAACCCACUGACCCCCAAAGAGAAGCCCUGCAGAGCAGAGACCUCACCCUGAGAAGCCUGCACCCCCUGGACAUCUUGACUCCAUCCUUCAGCAUCCUUUGCCUCACUGUAUCCUGACUGCUUGGACCAUCCUUCUCUCCAGCCUCCACUGAACAACAGAUUGGGAAGGGGAAUUUCACAAGGUUUGAGUGGCAGAGAUGUCCUAGGGUAGGCAGAAGGCCUGGCAGCCCCGGGAUGAACUUGCCCCUAGCCCAGCCCUCUGUCCUCUUACCAGCUUGGGGUUUGGUGGGGGCGGGGGGGUGGACAUUGGUAGGGGUGAUUCCAGGAUAUGUGUGCUUGAAGGGAUGUGGCCACGCCUGUGUGGUGGGGGUGGAGGGCUGAGGAGAACAGUGUGGCUCACCCUCUCUUUUGUGAGGAUGGGAGGAGCCUGGAAAGCCCUCUAGCUACUGGCUUUCCUCCUCCUUCCUCCUUACUUAGCAACUGUUGCCUGGUAAAUAUUUGCCCC
rnacentral:lncRNA from 1 species